AUUGAACGCUGGCGGCAGGCCUAACACAUGCAAGUCGAGCGAGAGGCGGACGGGUGAGUAAUGUAUGGGGACUGCCCGAUAGAGGGGGAUAACUACUGGAAACGGUGGCUAAUACAGCAUACUGUCGGAUAACCCAUAUGGGAUUAGCUAGUAGGUAAGGUAAUUGCUUACCUAGGCGACGAUCCCUAGCUGGGCUGAGAGGAUGAUCAGCCACACUGUGACUGAGACACGGCCCAUACUCCUACGGAGGCAGCAUUGGGGAAUAUUGCACAAUGGGCGCAAGCCUGAUGCAGCCAUUCCGCGUGUAUGAAGAAGGCCCUAGGGUUGUAAAGUACUUUCAGUCGGGAGGCGUUACCGACAGAAGAAGCACCGGCUAACUCCGUGCCAGCAGCCGCGGUAAGUC
rnacentral:rRNA from 1 species